rnacentral:tRNA from 1 species
AGCCGGUAGGUGGCGGUCCAGCUCUGGCCGCCCGCGCCGGCCAGCCGGUCGGCGACCUCGCUGACCAGGUCGGUCCCGGCGGCGCCGGCGGC